rnacentral:rRNA from 1 species
UCCAUUAGCAAUAGUGGUGAAAGUGGCGAACGGGUGAGUAACACGUAGAUAACCUGCCCUGAAGAGGGGGAUAACGACUGGAAACGGUCGCUAAUACCGCAUAAUGUCUUUUAGUAGGGAUACUAGAAGAAGAAAACUCUGGUGCUUCAGGAGGGGUCUGCGUCCGAUUAGCUAGUUGGUGAGGUAAAGGCUCACCAAGGCGACGAUCGGUAGCUGGUCUGAGAGGACGAUCAGCCACACGGGAACUGAGACACGGUCCCGACUCCUACGGGGGGCAGCAGUGAGGAAUAUUGCCCAAUGGGGGAAACCCUGAGGCAGCAACGCCGCGUGGAGGAAGAAGGUCUUUACGAUCGUAAACUUCUUUGUGAGGGAAGAGGAAGGACGGUACCUCAUGAAUAAGUCACGGCUAACUACGUGCCAGCAGCCGCGGUAAUACGUAGGUGACGAGCGUUAUCCGGAAUUACUGGGCGUAAAGCGUACGCAGGCGGCAUGGUAAGUCUGACGUGAAA